AUUGAACGCUGGCGGCAGGCCUAACACAUGCAAGUCGAACGAGUGGCGGACGGGUGAGUAAUGUCUGGGAAACUGCCUGAUGGAGGGGGAUAACUACUGGAAACGGUAGCUAAUACCGCAUACCAUCAGAUGUGCCCAUCGGGGCUUAGCUAGUUGGUGGGGUAACGGCUCACCAGGGCGACGAUCCCUAGCUGGGCUGAGAGGAUGACCAGCCACACGGGAACUGUGGCACGGUCCAGACUCCUACGGGAGGCAGCAGUGGGGAAUAGUGCACAAUGGGCGCAAGCCUGAUGCAGCCAUGCCGCGUGUAUGAAGAAGGCCUUCGGGUUGUAAAGUACUUUCAGCGGGGAGGCGUUACCCGAAGAAGAAGCACCGGCUAACUCCGUGCCAGCAGCCGCGGUAAUUG
rnacentral:rRNA from 1 species